rnacentral:rRNA from 1 species
UACAGAGGUCCCAAGCGUUGUUCGGAUUCAUUGGGCGUAAAGGGUGCGUAGGCGGCGCGGUAAGUCGGGUGUGAAAUCUCGGGGCUUAACUCCGAAACUGCAUUCGAUACUGCCGUGCUUGAGGACUGGAGAGGAGACUGGAAUUUACGGUGUAGCGGUGAAAUGCGUAGAUAUCGUAAGGAAGAACAGUGGCGAAGGCGGGUCUCUGGACAGUUCCUGACGCUGAGGCACGAAGGCCAGGGGAGCAAACAGG